rnacentral:rRNA from 1 species
GAUGAACGCUGGCGGCGUGCUUAACACAUGCAAGUCGAACGGUGAAAGCGAGCUUGCUCUCUGGACCAGUGGCGAACGGGUGAGUAACACGUGAGCAAUCUGCCCCUGACUCUGGGAUAUGCGCUGGAAAAGGCGUCUAAUACCGGAUACGAGCUGCGCAGGCAUCUUCAGCAGCUGGAAAGAACUUCGGUCAGGGAUGGGCUCGCGGCCUAUCAGCUAGUUGGUGAGGUAACGGCUCACCAAGGCGUCGACGGGUAGCCGGCCUGAGAGGGUGACCGGCCACACUGGGACUGAGACACGGCCCAGACUCCUACGGGAGGCAGCAGUGGGGAAUAUUGCACAAUGGGCGAAAGCCUGAUGCAGCAACGCCGCGUGAGGGACGACGGCCUUCGGGUUGUAAACCUCUUUUAGCAGGGAAGAAGCGAAAGUGACGGUACCUGCAGAAAAAGCACCGGCUAACUACGUG